ACGGGGGUGGCUGAGUUGGUCAAAGGCGCCGGGCUUAAGAUCCGGUCCGUAAUGGUUCGUGGGUUCGAAUCCCAUCCCCCGUACCA
rnacentral:tRNA from 1 species